AUAGGGAUACCACACAGUAUAGAGUGUCAGCGCCGGCGGCUGCAACAAACAGGAGGAUAAGGCAGCGCUUGCGGAUGAUCAUAAUGGAUGUAAAAAUAACAGAAUCUAACGUCACCAUAGACUUCAAUGUUAAACUACUAACGUAAGGACAAUAAGGCACUAUCCUAAGGAGUCUCUGAGACUAUGAAUAUAAAGACAUACAAUGAAAUUGUGGAUUAUAUAAAAAAAUAAAAAAUAAAGAAGAAACUAGGGGUCCCCAUACCAAUUUAGAACAUAAUCCUGUCCGGCUGCAGCAUCAUCUUUGUCCCAGCUGAAGCACAAGCUAGGACAAAGUCCAGUAAGUGAGGGUGGGACUAGAACUCCCUCUGUGCUCACUCCUGUCCUGUCAGACUGAGGCAUUAAAAACGAGAGGACGGGGUUACAGAGCAGCCUGUAGAAAUUGGAUGAAGAGACCCAGUACAUAACAGCAAACUACAGGAGGUAGAAGAGUGAUGCAGAGUGAGGACUUGCCCCCUCCAAAGCACAGGAUGAAAAACCAAGUGAGCAACAGAAAGAGGAUAUUUGUGAGAAAUAUAGGUGCUAGACACAUAAACAUUAUAUGUACAUGACCAGGAUUAGGUAGUGAGUAACAUAAAACUUAUUUUUGUGGGAUAUGACUUGUACUCUUUAAACUACCAGGCACCGUUUACACCUGAAAAGUAUACUUUUUGUAAAGUGUCCCUGACAUUUAACAAAACUAUGGACUUGUCACACAUACAUAUCAAAAGUUUUAUAUGGUCAGGGUCUGAUCACUAAUAUGAGCUGGGAGAAGUGCGCAACUAAGCCUGCCACUCCUAGGUUUGCGCAAUCUCCAUACAGUGGCAACAGGAAGAGGGUUUUAGUAAGUCGGGGAGCAAAGACACAGUUGCUCGCUAAUCCCGGCUUGUUCUGGCAAUUGUUGGUGGUCUAAACACGCAGACUCAGACCAAUUAAAACUUUUGAUUUGACGUGUCUCUAUGACAAAAGUCUGCAGAUUUAUUAAAACAACAGGGACACUUAAAAUGUUUAAAGGGGUACUCCC